UAUAUCAACAAGUCCUGUUUCUGAGGUCUUGAUGUCCUCCAAAUCAAUGAGCGUGUAUCUUACCAUUUACUUUCACUCCUCCCUCUUCUCACCUAGAAUGGCUGACAGAUAUUUACUAAUGUUGUAUAGCAUGAUGAGGGUUACUGUAACAACACCUAAAAGGGGUCAUAUCCAAAAUGUCAAACUGUAUUCAAAAUGUCAAAUUCUGAAACACAAUCGGUUUGCAGCAAUGCUAUUUGUUAAGAGACGUCUUUCCUGGACAAAACAAGCAACUUAUGAGACAGAACUGAGACACAUGAGGAAAUGAGCAAAGUCUAUGAAGCAAAGGAUAGUUAAAACAACGCAGCAUGGUGAUUAAUGUGUGACAGUGGCAGCUCUUCAGAAGUUAAAUGAAAAUCCACUCGAAUAGGAAGAGAGCGGUACGUAGAAUUUAUCGUUCUCUGAAGAAUACUGAGAUUCUGUGGUAAUGCCUUCUGCAGGUUAGGGUUGGCCGACUGCGCAGGUUGUAAGCUCCUCCUUCUGGAUCCAACUCCCCAACCCGUUUUUUUCUACCAUGGCUGUUGAUGCCUUCUUCACACAAUGUCUCUCAUAUUUUUGCUCAGCUGAAAACCAAUAAAGAACCAAGCUUCCUUGACAUUUUGCAGCUUUACCGUUGUCAAUUCCGCCGUACAUUGUUUUCUAAUCCGUGACACAGAGCCUUGAUCAGGUACUUGUUGUUGAUGGUGCAAACCGAGGCCUUAAUCUGCUAGGGAGACAUCAAAUGGUGUCAUCCGUGGGUGGUGUUGAGUGGAUGCGAGACUGUCUGGUCGUGACUUUGUGUGCAAAGGAGGGGAUUAACUGAGAACGGAACUGAGAAGGAGAAAAGUAAAGACAGAGAGAGACUAGAUGAUGAUGAGCAGCCCUCUGAAGGAAUAAACACACAGUGACCACAUUCAAAAAAUGAGAUGCAGAACUCUCGCCCUCCGUUGUUCCAUAAUGCAUAAAAACAACAUUUGGACCCUGAGGCUGGAUCUAAACUCUAAAGAAUAUGCAUUUUUUUUAAACAUAAAGAAUUAAAAUGUGAUUGAUACAGCUAAACUAUUGAGUGAAAUGUUUUUAGAAAUAUUAAAAGUUUGUAUUAUAGGCCGCAUUGUUGGUCAGUUGGGUUUUCUUUUAAGGAAACUAUUUCUUAGUCAGGUAACUAAAUAAAUGAAUGAAUGGGCAUUACCAUACCCUUAGAAUAAAAAUAAUAAAAUAAUAAAAUUGAACUCGUAUAUAUUUGAUUCAAUAUUAUUCAAGGUCCUGUUGUGAUAAAGGCUAGAAUGUAGACCCUCUCUUAAAAUAAUGACAUAAGACAAUCUAUUAUAUCGCUCCAUUAUAAUGUAAAAUAAUCAACUUUAGCUAAAUCUUCCUUCUUCUUACCAGAUUUCUGGCCACUUUUGUUUAACAAAAGCUACACCAAUUAAUAAAAAAACAAUGCUUUAAUUUUCUCUCCAUUUCUGUGACGGAUCAAUGGAGCUGGGCUGUUUCCCACUAGAUCGUUUGUCACUGCCACGUCAUUUUUCCAGUGCUUACUCCAGAGACAAAGAAUAUGGCAUCAGAUCCGGUAAUCCAUCACAAGAUCUAAAAAAAGGCCCUGCAUUAGGAUUAUUUCCGCACCUUAUAAUUCAUGGCUGUGGCGCGUGCUGUGCAUCAUAACUGAUCUAUGAUGAAAUUCGUUGCCAUCCAGUUUUAAAUUCCAUUUAAACUAAUUUUUCAAUUAGAUUGCAGAUCUACUCCACAUGUCUGGGUACAAAUUCAUUCAGGGUGAGUGAGGGAGAAGAAACACACUGCCUGCGUCUUUUGGAAAAAGCAGUGCAUUAGUAGCAGCUAUUAUAUCUGGAGCUGUGUUUUCAUCGUUCGCCCAUUAUGCGCCACCAUGCCAAGUGGAAGUGAGAUUAGACUGCAGAUUAGUCGGACUCCAUUAUAUCAUGUCCCAAAUGAUUAUGAAAUCAAUGGUCCAACCUAAGAGCGUGAUUUUAAUUUCAAUGUUGGCAAAGUCCACAUAGUUUUCAAACAACAAAAGUGAUUUAUUCACAAUGAUACAGUAGUCGGGUGUAAUACACAGCAUGCGUGUAACCCUUUGGUCCUCAUCCUUCACUUUUUUUUUUUUCAUUAUUUUAAUUUGAAAAAAAAGUCACAGCACAUUGUGAGACCUCUGAGCCACACUGCGAAAGCAAUAUUGAAGCUCUUUGUGCAAUAUUAAAUAAAACCAUAUUAAAGAGCCACACAGUUUCCAAGAGACAUUUUCCUAUCAUUAUAAUAAACAUGGUCAGUCUUUCAACCGGCCAAAAAUGGCGUCUUCCGCUACCAGCCGUCAUCUGUGAUACGUUUUAAAACCAAUCAGACAACUGAGCAACAGCGAUAACUGCUGUGCGGCGGCGCACAUUGUUUGUGACUAAACAUGUCUUUGUCACAUACGCGCGAGGAGGAGAGAUCUUUGCAGAUGCUUUAGGGGUCAUUUGGGAGGAGGGGGGGGGGGGUUUGAUGAAUCGAAUUAUUGGGAGGACAUUUUUAAAUAACACCUUCAGUCCAAGCACAUCUCAUCCGAAUGCACCGUGGAGAUUAAAAGAGACAGGGUGCGAAGCACAGGGAAAGUGCCCGGAAGAAUAGAAGGAGAACAUUUUUCAAACUGCUCUUUCCCUCAGGACAAGGCCGUGAGGAGGACAGAGACAAAGCAAAACGAGUGGAGAAAUCACAAUAAGAAAUGAUAAUACACACCGAAAUUAAUUAAAUGAUGUUGAGUCUGAUUUUAUCUGACGGAGAGGUAAUUUGUCUCUCUUUGGCUGCCUGCGGACUUUAGCUUUUUGUGUGUGUGCUGGAUUUGUAAUUGCUUCGCGCCUGAGGGGCUCUGCGUCGUAUGUGACUGUAAUGUGAGCAUUUUUGAUUUUGCACAUAUUUUCUGAGGUAUUUCCUACGACGUGGGAUGUGUUAUCUGAUUAACAGAAGUAAAGGACGUCCAAUGAAAUCACAGCUACACCACCUGGCAGAUUAUGAAACAAUAUAUUGUGCUUUGCAAGUGUUUGUUAUUGCUUCCUAUAAUGUGUUCCUAUCAAUACAACAUUUGAAAUUUGACACGUGAGGGAUGUUUGUCACCCAGAGCAGUUAAAUAAAACAAACAACGAAUAUGCAAAUUCCCAAAUUAUAAAAUGAAAGCUUUCUCCUCCGACGAUGGCAGUAAAUUAAACUCACCAAAGCUCUUCCAUUAGUUCACCCUUUGCAGACUGAACCCCUUGGCCUUUGGUCACGGGAACAUGACAUCACAUCUAUAUAUGACCAAACCUCUGCUAUUUCGAGACAUCUCAAUGUAUGUCAAUGACCGUGUAUGACAAGCAUUUUUCUAAAAUAUAUCAGUAUUUGCAUUAACAAUGUUUGCACGAUAAGUGCAAGGCCUUUACGUGGUAUUAACUGUCUCGUCCUGAGGGAUGUUCAAGCAACAAAGCUAAUUGUUCUUCAUUAUUGUCUCACGCUUACCCUCUUUUCGGAGGAUGGUCUCUAGAAAGAUAUCCAGGGUAAAAGAAGGAUAUGUAAUAAAGAUGUAACUUUUGCCAUAUGCUGAGUGAGUGUUACUCGUGUAAAAAUUGAGAUGUGCUUUUUUGAGUGUGAAAGGACACAAUUAUCCUUCUUGUAAGGCAACAAAGCACUGUCAUCAAGCCAUUAUGUUACACAUGAAUGGAGCAGCAUAAUUGCAAUGGAGAGUUGACUUUAACAAUGACGCCUUCUCGCUUAGGACUGCUGCUUAAUUAAAAUGCAGCGUUGCCUGCAAUUAGUCUCAUUCAUCACUCUGUUCACAUGUUAAUAGUAUAUUCUAUGAGUGGAAGUCAUUUAGGAUCCUACUUCAUUGCCUUUGACUUUGUAUACACGUGGAAAUGCUAGUUUUCCGUAGUGAACUGUGACAUCACUUAGAUGAUGCUCUCACAUACAAUCCCACAUCACAAUACGGCCACUGUUCAAAUCUGGAUGGACUGUUCAUGCUGGGCUGUGUUUUUUUAACAAUAAUGUAACUCAUCUAAUUAAUACUAAAGGCUUUGAAAUGAAGGCAAUCAAAGGCAACCUAAGUAAGACUAGUGUAUAUAAACCACGGUGAUGGUAAUGUUUAUUUAUUAGUGUAUUACGUAUAAUUUUCUACAUUCUAUAUUUAUCAUUGUCAUUAAAUUAUUAGUAGCUUAAGAAUGCAUUAUGAUUAUUUAAUUAAGUUUACUAGUCUCAAAUUGCUAAAUUGUUAUUUGGCUUUUUUCAGUUAUUUUUACAGUCCACAACAUGUCAGUCCUCUGGAAAGCACUUUUAUCUGCACGAUUGUAUGAAAGGUGGCCACUGCCACACACCUGCAAGCGCAGCAUCUCCUUCUGAGUCACAGACUAAUGGGGCAGUCACAGCAUAAUUCCCCAGCUCCCACAAAACAUCCUGAUUAUCGCUUUUCCUUUUCCCUCCUGCACCAUUAAACUUGCACCCAUAGGCACAAUGCGAAGGCAAAAAACUAAAAAACAUAAAUGGCUUACCUGUAAUGACUGUAUGUCACAUGUAAUUAGUUCACUUCUGUCCAAUUUAGCCCGUUUGUGUGAGGAAAAAACGUGGAGGAGGUGGUUUGUCACCACUAAUGCUCUUGUUGAGUUUUAUCUGUUUUACAGUUAAAACUUGUAAAAUCAAUUUGCAGUGUGACAUGCAGGGUGAACAUCGCCUGUAUGACACAAAAAAACCUUAUUUGAAAGUGUUUAUUUACCUUGCAUCCCUCUAAUUCGAUCAAUGCAGCACUGUGAGAUUGGUUGCGUCUGAUCUUGAAGUGGGCCGGCCAAGUCAUUUUCAAGCUACUUUUAGGGCUGAGACAAACAUCAGCUUUUAUUACUUCCAUGCGAGGGAAAUAGGCAAUAAUCAUUGACCUGGCUGUACUGAGGGAAUGUGUGGCUGAACAGUGAUGUCUAUUGGGGUCAACCAAAUGUUGCAGAAGCACAAGCAGCUCAUGUCUUAUAUUUCUAUUGGGUGAGUGGUAAAUGUGAGUUCUCAUAUACGUCUCUCAUCUGAGUGUUAUAUUUUUUGACACUAUAAACCUUUUCAGGGAACACGAGGAGCAGCAAAGAGCAUUUCUAGAAAUUAUAUUACAUUACAUUACAGGUCAUUUAGCAGACGCUUUUAUCCAAAGCGACUUACAUUACACUUUAAACCCAUGGCUUUUUCACAUUUUUGCCUGGGGAGCAAUUAGGGGUUAGGAGUCUUGCUCAGGGACACUUCGACAUAGAACAUGGGGCAGCCUGGACUCGAACCACCAACCUUGUGCUUCCCAGCACACCUUCUCUAACGCCUGCGCCACGACGACCCAAAUAUCAAGAGGGCACUUAAAGCAAAUGACAUCUAGGCCGCUGAAUGUAUGUUUUAUUUCCAAAGUGCUGAUAUGAGGGAGGCAUCUCAAACAUGGACUUGAGAUAUUGAAAACUUCACUACUACAAAACUAUUCUGUACCUGAAGAUUCAAGUAGUCAUCUCAGUGUGUAUUUCCCUAUUGGAACAAGUGAUAAAUGCUGAGCGGCUCAUAUUCAGCAGUAAUCAGAUGAAUUGUAUCAUCACAAGCAGUAUGCAAAUGUGAAAAAGACAUAUUAAUCUUAAUUUGUGUAUUGUCAAACUACUUAGUGAAAUGCUGCACAGUUUUCGAUCUUCCCAUGCCUGAAUAUCAAUAUUUGAACACAGCUUAAAUUAAGUAGCUUGUGCAAAUCUUUCAUAACCGCUUUUUAUAAUGUGUCAAAUGAACCAUUAAACUAAAACGGAUUUGGGACGGUUUCAUUUAUGCAAUGAAACUACUUAAACAUUCAGUGUCCUGAUGUUAAUUGUGCUAGUUGUAUACUUUUCCUGUCAGGUAAUUUCUAGAACAUUACUAUAUUACAGACUGCAUGUUCUUUUCAACAACAGCAAAACAUUGUUGGUGAAUAAAGUAGCCCAAAACAAUUGUAGCAAUUGUAAAAGUACUGUUACUUUGCAAAAAAGACCUCAAGUACAAGUAGUCACCAAGAAGUUAGUGAGUUAAUCAACCCCAAGUAUUUCAUUUGAUGUGAAAAUGAAUCUAGUUCAGCCACAGGUGGUUUUUCACAGGUGGAGGAUCGUGUGGGCGUGUUUGCCAGCAGACCUGGGACCAGCAGACCACUUUUUAACAGAUCACGAUUGCAUAAAAUAAGAAUGGAGUAAAAGCAAGUGGGGCCACGAAUGUAACGUAGUAAAAGCAUUGAUUUUUCUGCAAAUACCGCAAAAUAUGCUGCAUUAAAUCUACUCUCACAAUUUACUCAAAGGUAAGUUUUAAAACUCCGGUCAUGUGCAUUUCUUGACCUUGAAUCCCAAUAAAACUCCCAAUCACAUCAUGUUUGGUCAAUGAGGUUAAAGAACGGUGCAGAUUUCACUUAUGGACAGGGCUGUAAAUUAGGUAGGAGAUAUCAUGAAGUGAGCCGUGUGGCUAAUGGACUAAAGCACAGAGAAGAACACCAGGACACAAUUUAUUCCAUCUCAGCUGACUGCAAAUGACACCACAGGGAUUCUGCAAUGUUUUUUUUGUAUUUAGAAAUAACUUCAAAAGCUGCAUUGGUUGAAACACUGCAGGUUUGAUGUAGAUAAAGAUGCAUUUCAAGACGUCUUGAUUACCUCUGUUAAAAUUCCUUUAUUGCUUUGCAUCCUGUGUAUUCGUUUACCAGGAAAUGUUUUCAGUGAUACUCCUUCCUGUGAUUUAGGCAUUUCAAAGAGAAGACGAUCAAGAGAAACUGGGUCUCAAUUAGCUGGUAGCAAUUUCUACAAUUUCUUCUUCUUUAUAGCCCAAAUCAAAUCUGGAAAAUAACACCACUUGGAAUUUUUCUCUGUUUUACGUUACAUAACGUGAAGAGUUUCAUAGCUUGCUGGUUCAAAGUUAUUACACUAAGUUGAUUAAACACUCGUCAAAAAUAGAUAUUUUUAGUAAUGGACAUUUCUUUUUAACAAAUGUAACCUUCACCUUCGGGUUACCAUUACAGAGCCUUUAUUAACGAUUGCUGCGAUCCCAUUCAAAUUAUAAUGUGCUCAAAUUGUGGCGGCCAUCUGGAAAUCUAGUUGAAUUUGUAUGUGCGAUGAUGAAUCCUAAAUAAAUGCGGCCAUGCUUCUCAGCGCUUAUUGUAGAUGUCAUGCAAAUACUGUCAGCAACAGUGUCAGCGUACAUUUAUUGUGUCCGCAUAAUAAGACACCAGGUUCACUGAUUUCAGGCAUUAUUUAUUACAGCGUUGUCUACAUGUUGUCUGUUAGGAUGCGCUGUGUGUGCGUAUCUGAAGAGAUAAUAGCCUCCAGAGGCAGACAUUCUGUAAAGAGGAUUCAAUAUGCCUCUCCAUAAUGACAGCUCCCAAGGGGGAUCACAACACUGCUAAAUGGGCUUUGUACAGUCCAUUCAAUCAGUGUUUGCCAACACGCUGGGAUUUGGAAGCAGCCGCCCUGAACACUGGCUCUCUGAGAAGAAGAGAUAGCGAUGCCAAACCAGUGAGAGCAAUAUCAGGCAGAACUCAUCUCGUUAAGCGGUGGAUACUUUCAGUGUGAUCCAAGGUGACACAGCAUAGGUUUUCUGGUAAGUGUCCGUGCAGUCAAAUACUACAUUCAAGCCUAAUAAGCGUCCUUUCGGAGGGUUGGUUCAAAUGUGUUAGAUUAAUUGUAAGGGUUGAAGAUAUUAUUUAAGGGGACGGCAGUCCGAGCUUAACGAGAGUCCUCAAAGAGUCCCUACAGGAAAAGACGAAAUCUCAACCAGGAAUCUGUUCUGUUAUUCUGAUUUCAAAAUAAAUGUUCAUUUCAAUCAGUUUAAAGCAGCCUCAAUAACAGUGUCAGUUACUAACAGUGGCUAAUUGAUGGUCCUGCCGUGGUGCUCAUUGGCUCAUUUACUUUCGAGAAAGAAAGUACUUUUUCACGUCACAAUGCCAGGUGAUCCUUCAACUCAAUCGCGACAGAGCAGGCACAUUCAAAAGUCUGCACGCAGGAAAAGGUCAAUUCUUCUGUGUUAUGUAACAACGUAACAUCACGUGUAACCGCAUCACAUGAUAGGAUGGGAUGUCCAAAUAAACAAUCUGCUCUGAAGAAACCCCCACAGCGUGUCUGGUCUGCCUUGAAAGUUGCAGAGGUUAGUUGCUGGUGCAAUCGGAUCACUAACCUGGGAUGAGACAGCAAAAUGUGUAGCAUGAAGGACCAGGGGAAGCAUGACACCCAAUGGAAUUCUGUGGAGAAAAAUGCCUUCUUUCUGGAGUUUUAACUCGCAAGCCAAUUUUAAAACCUUCUUGUUUUUACCAUGACAUAUUCAAUAUAGCUGCAUAUAGGAACGCAUACACAGUUUUAGGGUUUUGCUGUACCGUGGAGGUGUUGUGGUGAAGAUUGACGCACUGUCAAAUACAGGCUUCACUUUUUAUUUGCAGAGAAGAAUCAAUCGAUUCACCUUAAGUCAUUUAAGCUCAUUUACAUUCAACUGUGCCCGUCAUCCCUCAUAUCAGGUAGAAAUCUAUACACUUUGUCAAGGGGGGUUGGCGUGCGAGAGUGAGACCAGAGGCAGUGACGGAUUGUUUUGAUCACAGUCUAUUACCAUCUUAAGGCGAGUGAUUUGACUUUGCAUGGGGCAGUUGGCUCCAGGAUGCCGAUCUCGUCAUUGGAUUUCCUAUGAUAAUGCCAUAAAAUGUCAUCGGCUGGAGAAGAGACGCAUCUAUCAUGCACAGGCACAGUGUCAGGAGUAAUGACACUUCAUUAUUGGCGCUCCGGUGUGAUUACUCUGCGAUUGUACAAGUUUGUCUGUGUGAGAGGCUUUUAAUGUGUAAGAAGAUUGGCUGAAGAAUAGAGGUUGCAAUGAGGAGAGUGGAGCUACUGUCCCGUCUGACUCCUCGCUCCCUUUAACCUAAAGGCGUAAUCUGUUGAGAUGGUGAGAGAUGUCUGCUGCCUCGACUUGUCUGGGCAGCAUGAAGACGUCCUGCUGCAACCAAAGGCUACACAACACCCCCAUGUGUCUGCCAGAACUACUGAAGAACGGGCUGACAUUUGAAGUCCGGCGGAAUGAAGGACCCUCCAAACUAUAAGAGCUAAAUUGUAAGUAACAACUAAUUGGAAAUAUUUUCUGAUGCUGUGAUUGCAAAGCAAAGCCCUUUACCGAUUCAUGUUAAUACCGCACUAGAAAAUAAGCACAAUCCAUUGUUAAAUAUUGACUGAUUUUUAUUCAUAUUGAAUUAAAAAUAUAGUUUUGACAGAUUCAUGUAACAAAACAGAGGGAAUACGUAUUUAAAUGUUCUUGCUUGGGAAAUGUAUCAAUUAACCAGCUAAGAGAAUAUUUUAAAAAUGGUAAUAUGUGACGAGGUAUGGUCUAUAAAACUUUGUUCUCAAUCAUUCUUAUACAACGCAAUGAUAAUUUACAAUACAUUUUUAUGUUAGAAUAUUGGUUCUAACAAACUUUAAUGUACUUUUCGGACAAAUGCACUGACUUUUGAGAAGCUUGCCAAACUGACUACUUUACCAAAUGUAUUUGGAAAUGAUGCAUAUUGUAAAUAACAGGAUUGGUGCCGAAAUGAUCCGUGCAAAUGACCAUAAACUGUCCAAUGGUAAAUGUACAUUGGGUUCAUAGUAUUCUGUUGGUGAUAAGCCAUAUACAAAAAUGAUGACAAAAAAACGAUCAAAAGUUGUUGCUGGUUAAAAUCUUAACUAUUGAAAUCGAAAUUGUGGUAUUCGUCUUCAGUAAAGUGAGAACAGGACAAAACCUUUUGUUCAUAAACAAAGCGGGUUAGGCAUGAGUCUUCUACAAUUGAGAUAUCAAUUACAAUAUUCCAAUUAAGAAUCUAUAAAACCCUGACAGGUUUAGAUUGUAAAUUUAACAAACCAUGCCGCCUCAGUCAAUCAGCAUCCGCAUUGUGACAAACUGCUUGAUGAGGACACACAAAGAUCAUUUCUGUGUCAGUCCUCGCAACAGAUAUUAGGUAAGGUGACAGAAAAAAAGUUAAUGUACAAACGUCUUUACAAGCAAAUAUCAGUAAUUCACACGAUCAAUCCAGCCCAUGCAAAACUGUUUGCACUUUGUCCCUCAAACACCAUUAAAUCCCUCUGGGGCUGUAACACGAUAUUGCUACUCCUCUCAAUGAGUAUUGCCUCAAAUGGAUGAAGAGCUGAAUAUCAUCUGAGAGUAAACAGUGACUGAGCUCAGUGCAAAUGGAAACUAUUCAAACUACUCGAGGAAAUAUAGUAUAGGCCCUCAAAACACAGGGUGUAAAGUGACACUGGUAGAUUAAUAACAUUGGUUAAGAAAGGCUGUAAGAAAAAAGGGGGAUGAAAUAUUGAAUAUUCAUUAGUAUUGCAACAGCAUUUUAAGAGUGUACAAAAUCUUUCAAAAAAUCUCAAGAGAUGGAUAAUACUGUGAGAAAAGUGGAGAGAAGGGGAGGUACACUACACCCAGAAAAUGAAAAAAACACUCCUACAAAAUGAGCAAGAGCAGAGGUCAGAACACAAAGUCACAAAACUGUGCUGAAAACACAUCACAAGGAAAAUGAUGAGGCAAGGUGACAAGAGACCCUGCAAGCCUUUUUCAUUCUUCAAAUUACAUUUACAAAAUAUAUAUAUACAUAUAUGUAUAUAUAUGUAUAUGCGUGUAUGUAUAUAUCUGUAUAUGUACAUACACACACACAUAUAUAUCUAUAUAUUACUGUAUAUUUGCUGAAUAUAUACAUAUUUAUAUACAUACAGAGACAGACAAAGAUAUUCCCUUCAAACAUGUAUAAACAUACAGUGGAGCACUACGAUUGCAAUGAUGCAAAAAGAAAUAAAAACAAACGAAAAAAAUAUCCUCAGCUGGAAAAAGAAGCAUCUCUCGCUCUUAUUUACAGAUGUACCUAGCCUCCCUUUACCCACCUAUAAAAAUACUUUCACCUUCAUUUCAUUUAUUUUUUUACUGACAAUGGUAAAACUGUCCUAUUAUCUGAACAGCUUUGUCUUUUGGUUACAGUUUUACCAUAAAUUCAUUAUAUUGUAAACUGUGCUUACUCAACCGCCGUCACCUACGUCAGUUUUUAUGGCAAGGUGAAACAUAUGCACACAACUCAUGGUGAAAUCAGAGUAUGAUUCCUAUUAUUUAUUAUUAUUAAGUUUAAUUGUUAUUACAAAUGUUGAACUUGUGUUUGUCUGCUGCAUGAUGGUCCUUUAAAAACAUGUGAUUUGCUUAAUGAUGUAUUGACCAAAACUAUUGAUAUCAAUGCUGUGAAAAAGUUCCUCGUGAUAUAAAUAAUGAAAGCAUACAAACAUGAAAUAGAGCACAUUCUAUAAAUGCAAUAACUGUGUCCCAGUUCAGGAGCUGGACCUUCUUAGUCCUCAUUUCUGGGUCAGAUGCAACUUAAAAGUCCAUCAAGGGAUUGUACCAUCCAAAGGCCCCAUAAAAUGGGACUAAGCAUGAAGUUUGUCUUUGCUUUGGAGGACACAACUGGUUCAUCAUCUGGAGUCCUCAAAAUCCCACAAUUGAGUUUUUAAACCUUCCUGGUCAGGAACACCUCGCCAACUUGUAAAGCUCGUAGUUUAUGCUAAUCAGAUAUAAAUCAAAUCACAUAAACUGGUCUAGAUAAUGAAGAAUAAAGAUGAAGUCUGUUGUUUAAUCUAGUUUGCAGCAUUAACAUGUUAAUUCCAAGGGGUUAUAAAUCGAAGAUUCUUGAAAAUUAUAACGGUUAAACUCGUCCAACUCGCCACUUGUCCUCAUACGUUGAUGUGAAAUAUCAAAUCCUUCAGUCAGGAUUUAGGAAACCUCUCCCCUUCCAAACCAUUUAUAAAUGGUAUUUAAAUGUCGUAGGCGGUUUGAAGGCAAUGCUUGGUACAAAACCUGCAGACGCUUAAAGUUGACGAGGAGCACCUGAACGUCUCGUUUGGCAAUGAUGUGCAGAUUAAGUCUGUACUUCUGUACGUCUG
ensembl:lncRNA